AUUUGUACUCUUUUUCCCUUGUC
rnacentral:snRNA from 1 species